GCCGGUGUGGUGGAACUGGUAGACACGCAGGAUUUAGGUUCCUGUGUCGAGAGACGUGCAGGUUCGAGUCCUGUCACCGGCA
rnacentral:tRNA from 1 species